GGACUACCGGGGUAUCUAAUCCUGUUUGCUCCCCACGCUUUCGCACCUCAGCGUCAGUUCCGGACCAGUGGGCCGCCUUCGCCACUGGUGUUCUUCCUAAUAUCUACGAAUUUCACCUCUACACUAGGAAUUCCACCCACCUCUUCCGGACUCGAGACUUACAGUAUCGAAGGCAGUUCCGAGGUUGAGCCCCGGGAUUUCACCCCCGACUUGCAAGUCCGCCUACGUGCGCUUUACGCCCAGUGAUUCCGAACAACGCUAGCUCCCUUCGUAUUACCGCGGCUGCUGGCAC
rnacentral:rRNA from 1 species